AGGGCCGGCCUUGAGAUUUUCUUUAUGUUUGGCCUGGAUGUAGUCCAACCUUAAACUCAAAUGAAAACUUGAGAAAUGUUAUAUUACCAAAGAGCGCAUGUGUGUGUUUUGAGAUGAAGGUAAUGGAGUGGGGUGGUGGCGGCCAGCCACAAAGCGCAGCUUCAAUCCGGCUAAAUAACUAAACCCUCACGGCAGAAUCCAGGCCCUCAUGACCACACCAUAAGGAGGAGUCUUUACUACCCCAAUUCUUGUAUUUUGUGUUUGUGCCCAUCCAGGGAGCUCUCGGAACUCCUGGGUCCCAGUUCCUCACGUGGUUACUCACCUGAGCUCAAUCUCUUCACUUCUCUGAUCCUCAACUUUUCCCAUGCUCUAAAUUAGAGGUAUAAAUUGAGUGUCAGGGAUCUUUUCGUUCAAAGAACCAAGUUCUAGUGCAAUCACUGGCAAAUGUAAUUUCUAAAUGUUAAGUCAUCCAUGCUUCCAAGACGCAAUUGAAAAAUGGCAAAUGUUGAGAGGCUCAAUGCGUUUUGUUUCUUUUUCAAAGGGCCUUUCCUAUUUCAGGCAACUGGGGCUGCGUGCGUUGGUGCUGAACAGGCUGACAUGGAAAUAUCAUCAUAAACCCCAGCUGCCUGCUCUAUGUCCCUCCCUUCAGUGCACACAAGAUGGGCCCUAGACAGACGGACAAACAGAAGGCUUCCAGGAGGAUGUAUAUUCUCCAGCUGGAGCCCUAUAAAUUGGACUGACAAAAGACAGAUUAGCAAGAGAAAUGCAAGCAGCAGUUUAUUAACAUGUGCAUCCUGAUUACACAUGGAAGUACCCAGAGCAGGUCAUAAGACCUCAUGUGACAGGUGCCCUUCUUACUCCCCGAGAAAAGGAAGGAAGACACAGAAACACCAAGAAGAAUAUGGACAAACAGGCCUUGCUAAGUUCCCCCGUUUAUUAAUAACCAUGACAUCAUACUCCCUUUGUCCAAUGACACUUUCGUCAAACCUCAGCAUGAAAAUACACAGGUUUCUCUGUUUGGGGGGUGGGUCUUCAU